rnacentral:rRNA from 1 species
AACGAACGCUGGCGGCGUGCUUAACACAUGCAAGUCGAACGAGAAAUCCCGGGCAACUGGGAGAGUAAAGUGGCGCACGGGUGAGUAACGCGUGGGUAACCUACCCUUGAAUUGGGGAUAACUCCGCGAAAGCGGGGCUAAUACCGAAUAAUAUCUCGAGGUCUUCGGGCCUUGGGAUCAAAGAUGGCCUCUGCAUGCAAGCUAUCGUUUAAGGAUGGGCCCGCGUACCAUUAGCUUGUUGGUAGGGUAAUGGCCUACCAAGGCAACGAUGGUUAGCUGGUCUGAGAGGAUGGCCAGCCACACUGGAACUGAGAUACGGUCCAGACUCCUACGGGAGGCAG